rnacentral:rRNA from 1 species
GUGGUGGUUGGGUACAUUAGGGAGACUGCCAGUGCCAAACUGGAGGAAGGAAUGGGCAACGGUAGGUCAGUAUGCCCCGAAUGUGCUGGGCGACACGCGGGCUACAAUGGCCACGACAGUGGGAUGCAACCCCGAGAGGGGACGCUAAUCUCCGAAACGUGGUCGUAGUUCGGAUUGAGGGCUGAAACUCGCCCUCAUGAAGCUGGAUUCGGUAGUAAUCGCGCCUCAGAAGGGCGCGGUGAAUACGUCCCUGCUCCUUGCACACACCGCCCGUCAAAGCACCCGAGUGGGGUCCGGAUGAGGCCGACGGAACGUCGGUCGAAUCUGGGCUCCGCAAGGGGGCUUAAGUCGUAACAAGGUAGCCGUAGGGGAAUCUGCGGCUGGAUCACCUCCA